GAUGAACGCUGGCGGCGUGCCUAAUACAUGCAAGUCGAGCGAACGGACGAGAAGCUUGCUUCUCUGAUGUUAGCGGCGGACGGGUGAGUAACACGUGGAUAACCUACCUAUAAGACUGGGAUAACUUCGGGAAACCGGAGCUAAUACCGGAUGAUAUUUUGAACCGCAUGGUUCAAAAGUGAAAGACGGUCUUGCUGUCACUUAUAGAUGGAUCCGCGCUGCAUUAGCUAGUUGGUAAGGUAACGGCUUACCAAGGCAACGAUGCAUAGCCGGCCUGAGAGGGUGAUCGGCCACACUGGAACUGAGACACGGUCCAGACUCCUACGGGAGGCAGCAGUAGGGAAUCUUCCGCAAUGGGCGAGAGCCUGACGGAGCAACGCCGCGUGAGUGAUGAAGGUCUUCGGAUCGUAAAACUCUGUUAUUAGGGAAGAACAUAUGUGUAAGUAACUGUGCACAUCUUGACGGUACCUAAUCAGAAAGCCACGGCUAACUACGUG
rnacentral:rRNA from 1 species